AUUGAACGCUGGCGGAAUGCUUUACACAUGCAAGUCGAGCGGCAGCACGGGGGCAACCCUGGUGGCGAGCGGCGAACGGGUGAGUAAUACAUCGGAACAUACCCAGUCGUGGGGGAUAACACUUCGAAAGAAGUGCUAAUACCGCAUACGUCCUGAGGGAGAAAGCGGGGGAUCUUCGGACCUCGCGCGAUUGGAGUGGCCGAUGUCAGAUUAGCUAGUUGGUGGGGUAAAGGCCUACCAAGGCAACGAUCUGUAGCUGGUCGGAGAGGAUUAUCAGCCACACUGGGACUGAGACACGGCCCAGACUCCUACGGGAUGCAGCAGUGGGGAAUUUUGGACAAUGGGGGAAACCCUGAUCCAGCCAUUCCGCGUGAGUGAAGAAGGCCUUCGGGUUGUAAAGCUCUUUCGGCAGGAACGAAACGGCGAGCUCUAACAUAGCUUGCUAAUGACGGUACCUGAAGAAGAAGCACCGGCUAACUACGUGCCAGCCGCCGCCGUAACAC
rnacentral:rRNA from 1 species